AGUUAACGUUGGCGGCGUGCCUAACACAUGCAAGUCGAACGCGUCCUAAGGGCAACUUUAGGAUGAGUGGCGAACGGGUGAGUAUCACGUGGGUAAUCUUCCUUUAAGUGGGGAAUAAGCUCUCGAAAGGGAGUCUAAUACCGCAUGACAUUCCGGGACACAAGUCCCGUAAUCAAAGCCGCAAGGCGCUUGAAGAUGAGCCUGCGUCCUAUUAGCUAGUUGGUGGGGUAACGGCCUACCAAGGCUCAGAUGGGUAGCCGGCCUGAGAGGGUGAACGGCCACACUGGGACUGAGACACGGCCCAGACUCCUACGGGAGGCAGCAGUGAGGAAUUUGCGCAAUGGGGGAAACCCUGACGCAGCGACGCCGCGUGGAGGAUGAAGGCCUUCGGGUCGUAAACUCCUGUCAGAGGUGAAGAAUGCCCGCAAGGGUUGACGGUAACCUCAGAGGAAGCCCCGGCUAACUACGUGCCAGCAGCCGCGGUAAAGUCACGUCG
rnacentral:rRNA from 1 species